rnacentral:rRNA from 1 species
CAGCCGCCACGGGAAUACAGAGGGUGCAAGCGUUAAUCGGAAUUACUGGGCGUAAAGCGCGCGUAGGUGGUUUGUUAAGUUGGAUGUGAAAGCCCCGGGCUCAACCUGGGAACUGCAUCCAAAACUGGCAAGCUAGAGUACGGUAGAGGGUGGUGGAAUUUCCUGUGUAGCGGUGAAAUGCGUAGAUAUAGGAAGGAACACCAGUGGCGAAGGCGACCACCUGGACUGAUACUGACACUGAGGUGCGAAAGCGUGGGGAGCAAAUGGGAUAAGAGACCCCCGUAGUCCCUGUCUCUUAUAC